GUGCUGUCAUCAUAAAAUGGCGGCCUGAGGUGCACGGACUCGGUCUCGCCUUCCUCAGGCCAAGACGCUCUAUCCCUCUACCAAAAUGCAGUAUUCCCAUCACUGUGAGCACCUUCUAGAGAGGCUGAACAAGCAGCGAGAGACAGGCUUUCUUUGUGACUGCACGGUAGUUAUUGGUGAAUUCCAGUUCAAAGCUCACAGAAAUGUGCUUGCCUCCUUCAGCGAGUACUUUGGUGCAUUUUACAGGGAUGCCUCUGACAGUAAUGUAAUUUUGGAUCAGACUCAAGUGAAGGCCGAUGGAUUUCAGAAACUCCUGGAGUUUAUAUACACAGGAAACUUAAACCUUGACAGUUGGAAUGUUAAAGAAAUUCACCAGGCUGCUGACUAUCUCAAAGUGGAGGAGGUGGUCACUAAAUGUAAAAUAAAGAUGGAAGACUUUGCUUUUAUUGCUAAUCCCUCCUCUACAGAGAUUUCUAGUAUUACAGGAAACAUUGAACUGAACCAACAGACUUGCCUCCUCACUCUUCGAGAUUACAAUAAUCGAGAGAAAUCAGAUGCCCCUUCUGCAGACUCAGUUCAGCCACAAGCAAAAAAAGUGGGUUUAGAAAAGAAAUCUACUCAGACCAGAAAGCGAAAAAAGACUUUUAACUCUCAGAAAAACAUGAAGAAUAAACCAGUGCAAUAUCAGAAUGACAUAAUUGAGAACUCAUCAGUUGAUAUGUUUUUAGAUGCAAAUAAACUUGCCACACAGAUAACGGAACAAGCUGCCCAAGGCAGCGAUAACUCAGAGCUACAGCUAGCGUCUGUGGUGGAAAGUGAAACUUUUGCAGCACAAGAUGUUUUGGUUCAGACUAUUACAGUGAAACAAAAAUGGGGGAAGCCACAGCAGAACUGUGCAUUGAAAGAACAUAGUAUGUCUAAUAUAGCUAGUGAAAAGAACUCUUACCAACUGGAGAGCUCUGGAGAAGAACUUGAUCAGAAAUACUCCAAGGCCAAACCAGUGUGCAACACUUGUGGGAAAAUAUUUUCAGAAGCCAGUAGUCUACGACGACACAUGAGAAUACACAAAGGAGUAAAGCCUUAUGUAUGUCAACUCUGUGGGAAAGCAUUUACACAGUGUAAUCAGCUGAAAACACAUGUCAGAACGCACACAGGGGAGAAGCCAUACAAAUGUGAAUUGUGCGACAAAGGCUUUGCCCAGAAAUGCCAGCUAGUUUUCCACAGUCGCAUGCAUCAUGGAGAAGAGAAACCAUAUAAAUGUGAUGUAUGCAAUCUGCAGUUUGCAACUUCAAGCAAUCUGAAGAUCCAUGCGAGGAAGCACAGUGGUGAGAAGCCCUACGUGUGUGAUAGGUGUGGGCAGAGGUUUGCUCAGGCCAGCACGCUGACGUACCAUGUUCGUCGCCAUACAGGAGAGAAGCCGUAUGUGUGUGACACCUGUGGGAAAGCAUUUGCAGUGUCCAGUUCUCUGAUCACUCAUUCUCGAAAACAUACAGGAGAGAAACCAUAUAUAUGUGGCAUUUGUGGCAAAAGUUUUAUUUCCUCAGGAGAGCUCAAUAAACAUUUUCGGUCUCAUACAGGUGAAAGACCAUUUAUCUGUGAACUGUGUGGAAAUUCUUACACAGAUAUAAAAAAUUUAAAAAAGCACAAAACAAAAGUUCACACAGGAUCUGAAACCACCCUUGAUUCUAACACAGUUGAUAAUUCCUACAAUGAGGAAGAAUCCAUUCAGAAUCAGAAAAGCCCUUUGUCAGAAUCUGCAGAUGUGAAGCCUUCUGAGAUGUCUUUACCACUUUCUCUUCCCAUUGGGACGGAAGACCAUCAGAUGCUGCUGCCUCUAACUGGUAAUCAGUCUCCUUCCUCAGACACAUUGCUGAGGUCUGCUGUAACUGGAUAUUCAGAACCUCAGUUUAUUUUCCUGCAGCAGUUGUACUGACUGUGCGAUAUAGGAAUCAACAAGACAAUCCUGGUAGUGAACACACACAUUAUUGGUAAGGUGAACAUCAUCAUCCAAGCUGUUGGACUUACUCUUACUCAUUCAUUUGAGUGAAGACAUUUGGAUUCCGUGGCCAACUGGUAAUUCUGUGACUGAAGAAUCGCACCAAAAAGCAGGGCCUUGAAUAUAAGUGACAAAGGUCCACUCCAUGUGACCAGAUCUAAGGCUGCAUUUUCUGACCAAAAAUACAGCAAAGGUAUAAGGAUGAACGCAGUUUCAGUAAUUAGUAUUGCACAAAAGAAAAGCCGUCUUAAGCGCUCUGCCAACUCAUAUGGUUACACUGCUAUUUGGCAAGUUCAUCUUUAAAUGUAUUAAAGUACAUCUCUUCUGAUGUGCUAUUACUUAAACUUUUUUUUUUAACUUGUUCAGAAUUACUGAGUAAUGCAUAUAUUACCAGAAGAGCAAACUAACUCUGAAAAACACAUUCCUAUGUAGAAUAUGCAUUCCAUAAGAAUGUUUGUUUCAACUGUUUUUAUAUUUCUAAAAUUUUAGAUUACUACAGUAUUCUUACAUUUCAGACUUUAAAAAAAAAAAUCAGUGCUUAGAUUUAUACUGGAUCCAGUUUAGAUAUUUAUAGAGGUGACAUUUGCUUUAUAUUACUCAUUUAGUUUUCUUUAUACACAGGAAGAUCAUCAUUUUUACAAGACAACGGUUUUAAACCUCUCUUCACAGAAUACACAGGUUCCAAUAAAGUUGUUCUCUUGGCAGCAAUAAUUUAAUGAUCUGUACUCUUGAGUACCAAUUCUUAUCCUCAACUUUGAUGAAAAUGACUCAGCUGCUGAGUUCAUUUCCCUUAAAUAUAUUAAUUUAAUAUAGCAUAUAAUGUAAAAAAAUGUGUAAGAGUUCCAGCUGGGUGCUGUCGAACUUUGAGAGAGAGCUCUACUGCAUAUCUGUGACAAUGCCUGGAGUACUUUCCAUGCAUCUCUUAUGUGGAGGCUUACUGCUCUCAAGUUCAAUUUGGAGCUGGAAGUUAUAUCAAGAGGAUUGAUGGUCCAUGUAAAGAGUGAAUAGGGGGAAAACUAUCUUAAAUAGUCAAAUGCCGUUAAUAGUUAACCAAGUUUCUCCUUUCUGAAAAAUGAAAGCGGGAGCAUUAAAAUUUCUUUAAAAUCUUGAAAAAGAUUUCUAAAGAAUAUCUCUAGUGUGAUCCAAAUCUCAGCAAGUCCACUAACUUUAAUGGAAGUUUUGCCUGAGGGCUUGACUACUCUUGGAAAUUUACCAAAAUAGCUAGCUAUUCCAGAAUGGUGAGUUAUACCAGAAGAGCUACUCUGCAAUAAUUAUUUUGGUAAGUUCCAAGUGUAGAAAAGCCCUGAGUAAGGAUUACAAGACUGGACUUUGUGAGAGGCUGUUGGUAAGACUUACAGAAAUAGGUCUAGAUAAGAACUAGUAAUUGAUUUGGGUUAAGUUAUUAUUGAAGUAUUUUUCCUGUAUAUACAAAGUGUUUUUCCUUCUGUUAUGUGUAGAUAGUUCAAUUCUUUUUUUAUAAUCCCCUGUGGGGGUUUUGUACAUACUUAGGUUGCAGUGUUUAUGUUAGGCUUUAAUAAACUUGUUUUGUAAUUUUC